GCGCCCGUAGCUCAGCUGGAUAGAGCACCAGACUACGAAUCUGGGGGUCAGGAGUUCGAAUCUUCUCGGGCGCGCCA
rnacentral:tRNA from 1 species